UACGAAUGGGGCAAGCGUUGUUCGGAAUCACUGGGCGUAAAGCGUGUGUAGGCGGUUAAUCAAGUCAGAAGUGAAAUCCCAGAGCUUAACUCUGGAAUUGCUUUUUGAAACUGAUUGGCUAGAGUACUGGAGAGGUUAGCAGAAUUCCGAGUGUAGAGGUGAAAUUCGCAGAUAUUCGGAGGAAUACCAGUGGCGUAAGCGGCUAACUGGACAGUAACUGACGCUGAGACACGAAAGCGUGGGGAUCAAAACAGGAUUGAGAUACC
rnacentral:rRNA from 1 species